AAAAUAGAACUGCUAAAAUUGUAUAGAAUCUAAUAGUGUCAUUUAUAAAAACAGCUUUUGUAAUGGCAGGGAGGAUAUGUUAACAGGCGAAUAAAAGUUCAUGUUGUAAAUAUUAAGCUGUAAAUUGUUAAGCCCUUGGAAAGAAACCCAAAAAGGUAAAAGAGAAGGAAAUAUUUAAUGAAACUAGGACUUGCUUGAAAAUUUUAAAUUGGAAAGAUAAAUGAAAAACAGGGAUUGCAUCAAUAGGAUUGUGUUUCAAGCACAUCUUUUGUUGUUUGGAAAAAUUUGUGAGUGGCAUGUUAUGUUGUUGUUUGGUGGGACCUAUGUUGUUGUUGUUUUUGAUGUACUUAGUAGUUAAUUUUUUUUUUAGUUAUGUUUAUUUGGUUUGAUUUAUGUCAACUUUGUUGAACUUUUGAGACUUUUGAACUAGAAAUGAUGGGAUGUAUGAACUAUUUCUGUUUAUG
rnacentral:misc_RNA from 1 species